rnacentral:rRNA from 1 species
GGAGGGUGCGAGCGUUGUUCGGAAUCACUGGGCGUAAAGGGCGUGUAGGCGGUCCGCUAAGUCUGAUGUGAAAGCCCGGGGCUCACCCCCGGAAGUGCAUUGGAAACUGGCGGACUCGAGUCCCGGAGAGGAGAGUGGAAUUCCUGGUGUAGCGGUGAAAUGCGUAGAUAUCAGGAGGAACACCGGUGGCGAAGGCGGCUCUCUGGACGGUGACUGACGCUGAGACGCGAAAGCGUGGGGAGCAAACAGGAUUAGAUACCCUGGUAGUCCACGCUGUAAACGAUGAGCACUAGGUGUCGUGGGUAUUGACCCCCGCGGUGCCGUAGCUAACGCAUUAAGUGCUCCGCCUGGGGACUACGGCCGCAAGGUUA